rnacentral:lncRNA from 1 species
UGAUACCACAUGAUUAUAUAUUUUUUUAUCAAACUAGAAUAAGAGAUAUAAUUUAUGAAAAAUUUUGAUAUAAGAAUGAUUUGAAUUGACAAUCUGACUAUGUAAAGGAUCCCACCAAUGGGGGUAUAUAUGUUGGCAAUUGAUUUAUCCUGAGAGUUUAUGUCGUCAGUGAGACCAGCAAUAAACCACCAAUAAGACCACCAGUUCUAAAGGACUUUACUAUCAAAUGAUUUGUAGCUCACCACA